rnacentral:rRNA from 1 species
UAGGGAAUAUUGCACAAUGGGCGAAAGCCUGAUGCAGCAACGCCGCGUGCGCGAUGACGGCCUUCGGGUUGUAAAGCGCUUUUCGGGGAGAUGAGGAAGGACAGUAUCCCCGGAAUAAGGCUCGGCUAACUACGUGCCAGCAGCCGCGGUAACACGUAGGAGCCAAGCGUUAUCCGAAUUCACUGGGCGUAAAGCGCGUGUAGGCGGCUCAUUAAGUUGGAUGUGAAAGCUCCUGGCUCAACUGGGAGAGGACGUUCAAAACUAAUAGGCUAGAGGGCGACAGAGGGAGGUGGAAUUCCCGGUGUAGUGGUGAAAUGCGUAGAUAUCGGGAGGAACACCAGUGGCGAAGGCGGCCUCCUGGGUCGCACCUGACGCUCAGACGCGAAAGCUAGGGGAGCGAACGG